AGGUCAUGAGGCAGUCGAUCAGCAGAGAUCUUACCAGCCAGCCACCCUACUCAGUAGACCCCUAGAUCAUACUCCACCGUCUCGACAAUUAUGAUCGGACAGAAGAACAAACGCAAUAGUCUAAGGCGUAGCAGUCGCCGUGCCAUGCAGGCCACGUUGACCUACCCUGAGGUGAUCGUUCGGAGUGUGGAGAUGACAUCGGUCAGUCGGAGAGACAUCUCCUCUUCGAUCAGCAACAACACCUACAACCGAUACUUGCUGGAGAAACAACAGAAGAUAGAGUUGGUUUGGUUCCAGAAGACAGGGAAGAAAUCAACUCUGGCUGUCGGAGCAACCAGUCCAACACCUGCUGUGUUCAAUGUCACUAAGGGUCUAUCUGACAAGCAGUGGCAGUCCAUACAAGGGGAGAUGCCAGGCAAUAUGACAAGAGAGGACUUUAAUGAGACCUGCAACACCAUCCUAUCAUGGGUGAAAGAGGCCGUUGGGACUGCUGUGAAGCCUGCCCUGGACCUGACCUGGGAAAUCAUCACCACUAACGGAUCUUCAAUAUUGUCCACCCCCUCCAGCUGUUCACGAACAGAGGAAUGCUCAGUUGUGAUCUGUCCCUUUCCAUCAAGGUAACCAUGGUUGACAGAGGAAGAACAAUGAUUCCAAGCACCACCCUUCUUUUGAAGUUUCCAGUCUGUUGUUCGAACUCAAUCAGCAUGACAGAGUGAUUUCCAGCCUUGUCCUCGUCAACACUCACACCUGUAUUAAUGAGAGAAUCACUGACAUGAUGUCAGCUAGUCCUUUUGUGGCAGGGCUGAAAUGCAGUGGAAAUGUUUUGGGGGGAUUCAGUUCAUUUGCAUGGCAAAGAGGGACUUUGCAAUUAAUUGUAAUUCAUCUGAUCACUCUUCAUAACAUUCUGGAGUAUAUGCAAAUUGCCAUCAUACAAACUGAGGCAGGAGACUUCUCAAAACUUUUG
ensembl:lncRNA